rnacentral:lncRNA from 1 species
ACUACUGGGAGAUUCUGAAGAGUAACAGAAACCAGGCAAAUGGUAGAGGGGAGUGGAAAUCUUGGAGAAGCACCUGGCAUGGGGAUGAGUCUCUCCUAAGCAAUGUGAGAACCUUAGAACCCUGACUCUGCUGAGCCUUCCGACCUUCCUUAUUAGGGGUAGAGGGUCUUAGUUUGGAGUCUGCGAGCAUGGAUAUUGUGCAGCCAUGGGGAACUGUGAGUCAGUUAAACCUCUUUUCUUUCUAAAUUACCCAGUCACAAUUAUUUCUUCAUAGUGAUAGUGACAGGAGGCAGACAAAUGCCUAAGCAGAUAGGGGUGGGUCCCUGGUGAAACCCAACCUUCAAGCCGAAGACAGUCCCAGGUAAAUUCUCAGACCAGAUCAAAAACCUUUCUUCCCAUUUGGUGCACUUUCCUCUGAUGGAUCCCACCCUUCACCUAUUUUACAUAUACCUACCCUUCCCUGAUUGUUUUUUUUUUACACUGUUGUGCCCAUCUUUGAGUGGUAACUUUGUUUUAAUUUUUAUUUGCAUACUCACAAACCAAUCAGCAUGCACUCACCUAUUCUGAGCCCAUAAAAGCCCUGGACUCAGCCACACUGGGAGAGAAACCAACAGACUACAGGGUUGCGGGACCACCCCACAUCCCCUUUUUGCUGAGAGUUGUUCCAUCGCUCAAUAAAAUUAUUCUCUGUCCUCCUCACCCUUUGAAUCAUCAGCAUAUCCUCAUUCUUCUUGGUUGCAGAACAAGAGGUUGGGAAC